UCACUGCACCUGGAUGCUCACGACUUUGCCCCCGGACGGCGACACCUUGGGGAUGCUGAGGUAGAGCACGCCGUCCCUCACCACCGCGGCGAUCCUCUCCACCUCCACGUUCUCCGGCAGCUCCACCCGCGUCCUGUACCGCCCGUAGCUCGCCGCCGGCCACGCCUCCUCCUCCUCCCCAUCCUCCUCGUUAUCCUUAUCCUUCUCUCCGACCGCCUCCCUUUGCUUCGCCGCCUUCUCGGCGACCACCACCAGCGUCCGGUCCUGCACACUCACGCGCACGUCCUCCCUCGUCAUGCCCGGCAUGUCGAACCGCACCAGGUAGUCCCCCGCGCGCUCCUUGAUCUCCCACGGCGUCCGCCCGCGUCGGUCGUCCGCGCGCCGUGCCGCCGUGGGCGGCACCGUCGCGCCAGGCACCACGAAGGGGCGACGGCCGUCGUCGUCGUCGGCCUCGUCCAUGAUGCGCUCCAUGGUGCGCAUCAU
rnacentral:rRNA from 1 species